rnacentral:rRNA from 1 species
UGCGGGUGCCUACCUGCAAGUCGAACGUUCUCGCGCUUUUCGGAGCGCGAGGGAGUGGCGGACGGGUGAGUAACACAUGGGUGUCUUACCCCCCAGUGAGGGAUACCGGCGAGAAAUCGCCGACAAGACCGCAUGCGCUUGUUUGGGUGAAACCAGGCAAGCAAAGUCGCAAGACGCUGAGGGAUGGGCCUGUGGCCGAUUAGCUAGUUGGUGGGGUAAGCGCUCACCAAGGCGACGAUCGGUAGCUGGUCUGAGAGGACGAUCAGCCACACUGGGAUUGAGAACGGCCCAGACUCCUACGGGGGGCAGCAGUGAGGAAUUUUCCGCAAUGGUCGCAAGACUGACGGAGCAACGCCGCGUGCAGGAGGACGCUUUUCGGAGUGUAAACUGCUUUUCUGUGGGACGAGGAUGGACGGUACCACAGGAAGAAGCCCCGGCUAACUACGUGCCAGCAGCCGCGGUAAUACGUAGGGGGCGAGCGUUGUCCGGAGUUACUGGGCGUAAAGGGCACGCAGGCGGUGCAGCGCGUUUCGCGUGACAGCGGAGGGCUUAACCCUCCGAGGAUGGGAAAGACGGCAGCACUUGAGGACCAGAGAGGGACACGGAAUUCCGGGUGGAGUGGUGAAAUGCGUAGAGAUCCGGAGGAACACCGAGGGCGAAGGCGGUGUCCUGGCUGGUAACUGACGCUGAGGUGCGAAAGCUAGGGGAGCGAACGGGAUUAGAUACCCCGGUAGUCCUAGCCGUAAACGAUGACCACCAGGUGUGGGGAGGUAUCGACCCCUUCCGU